CUCAGCUAAUUUUGACUAAGGACCUACUGUGUUUUAGGCAAUAUGCUAGUUGCUUGGGAUGUAAGAAAUAAUUAAAACACAGCCUUUCUUUCUCAGAGCUUGCUAGUGUGUGAAGAAACAGCUGGGGAGAAUAAUCCUCGAUAUACAAGAAUCAGUACUUGAAAAUAUUCAUCUCAUUAUAAAUAACAAGUACAUAAUUACAUGCAUGUAGAGUUGUGUUUUAUUUUUGUUUUACACUAGUGGUUAUCUUUAAAUCUUUAAACAUUACAGUGCUAGUUCAUAUUUUGGUCUUGGUAGAAUAUCAUGGUUAAAACUUAUAAUUCAGAUUCACUAGGAUGUUUAUAAUAAAUAAAACAUACAAUUAGUGUUGGUGAGGAUGUGGAGAAAUUAGAACCCAUGUACAUUGCUGGUUGGAAUGUAAAAUGGUACAGCUGCUUUGGGAAAGCCUGGUAGUUCCUCAAAAAGUGUAGAAUUACCAUAUGACCAGGUAUAUACCCAAGAGAAAUGAAAAAUAUGCCCACACAAAAACUACACAAAUGUUCAUUGCAGCAUUAUUCAUAAUAGCAAAAAGAAAUAACCUAAAUGUCCAUCAACUGAUGAACAAAAUUUGAUCUCUAUCUGCACAGUAGAAUACUAUGCAUCCAUAAAAGGAACAUCAGGCUGGGCGCCGUGGCUCACACCUGUAAUCCCAGCACUUUGGGAGGUUAAGGCGGGCAGAUCACAAAGUCAAGAGAUCGAGACCAUCCUGGCCACCAUGGUGAAACCCCGUCUCUACUAAAUAUACAAAAAUUUGCCGGGCGUGGGGGCGUGUGCCUGUAGUCCCAGCUACUCGGGAGGCUGAGGCAGGAGAAUGGCUUGAACUAAGGAGGCGGAGGUUGCAGUGAGCCGAGAUUGUGCCACUGCACUCCAGCCUGGGUGACAGAGCGAGACUCCGUUUCAAAAAAAAAAAAAAAAAAAGGAACAUCAAGAACUGGUACAUGCCACAUAUGGAUGAACUUUUAAAACAUUAUGCUAAGUGAAAGAAGCCAGUCACAAAAUAGCAUACAUUGUUUUACUCCAUAUACGUAAAACAGCCCAGAACAGGCAAAUCUAUAGACACAGAGAUUAGCAGUCGUCUAGGGCUGAGGGAUUAGUGACUUCUUCUAAAAGGGGUAGAGGGUCUUUUUUUCAGGGUGAUGAAAUGUUCUAAAGUUAGAUUAUGGUGAUGGCUGCAUAACUCUGUGAACAAACGCCACUGAAUUAUGCCCUUUAAUUUUUUUUAGAGAUGGGGCCUUGCUGUGUUGCUCAGGCUGGAGUGCGGCAGAUGUUUAAAGGUGUGAUCAUAGCUCACUGCAGCCUCGAACUCCUGGGCUCAAGUGAUCUUCCUUUCUCAGUCUCCCGAGUAGCGAGUAGCAGGGACCACAGGUGCAUGCUCACUGCUCUAGCUCCAAAUUGUGUACUUUAAAUGGGUGAAUUUUAUUAUAUGUGAAUUACAUCUCAAUAAGGAAGUUAAGGUCGGGUGUAGUGGCUCACACCUGUAAUCCCAGCACUUUGGGAGGCCGAGGCGGGCGGAUCACGAAGUCAGGAGUUCAAGACCAGCCUGGCCAACAUGGUGAAACCCUGUCUCUAUUAAAAAUACAAAAAUUAGCCAGGUGUGGUGGUGGGCGCCUGCAAUCCCAGCUACUCCAGAGGCUGAGGCAGGAGAACUGCCGGAACCCAGGAAGCGAAAGUUGCAGCGAGCCGAGAUCGCGCCAUUGCACUCCAGCCUGGGUGACAAGAGUGAGACUCCAUCUCAUAAAAAGAAAAGAAGUUAAAAAAUAUGAUUCAGGGCCGGGCGCGGUGGCUCACCCCUGUAAUCUCAGCACUUUGGGAGGCCGAGGCGGGCGGAUCACGAGGUC
rnacentral:lncRNA from 10 species